rnacentral:rRNA from 1 species
UACGAAGGGGACUAGCGUUGUUCGGAAUUACUGGGCGUAAAGCGCACGUAGGCGGAUUUGUUAGUCAGGGGUGAAAUCCCGGGGCUCAACCUCGGAACUGCCUUUGAUACUGCAAGUCUCGAGUCCGAUAGAGGUGGGUGGAAUUCCUAGUGUAGAGGUGAAAUUCGUAGGUAUUAGGAAGAACACCGGUGGCGAAGGCGGCCCACUGGAUCGGUACUGACGCUGAGGUGCGAAAGCGUGGGGAGCAAACAGG